CCUACGGGCGGCAGCAGUGAGGAAUAUUGGUCAAUGGGCGGGAGCCUGAACCAGCCAAGCCGCGUGAGGGAAGAAGGUACAGCGUAUCGUAAACCUCUUUUGUCAGGGAACAAAGGCUGGGACUAGUCCCCGGAUGAGGGUACCUGACGAACAAGCAUCGGCUAACUCCGUGCCAGCAGCCGCGGUAAUACGGGGGAUGCGAGCGUUAUCCGGAUUUAUGGGGCUUAAAGGGUGCGCGGGCGGCCUGUUAAGUCAGCGGUAAAAGCCCGGGGCUCAACCCCGGCGAGCCGUUGAAACUGGCGGGCUGGAGUUGGAGAGAGGUAGGCGGAAUGCGCGGUGUAGCGGUGAAAUGCUUAGAUAUCGCGCAGAACCCCGAUUGCGAAGGCAGCGUACCGGCUCCACACUGACGCUGAGGCACGAAAGCGUGGGUAUCGAACAGGAUUAGAUACCCCUGUAGUC
rnacentral:rRNA from 1 species